GGGGCGGGGGAGUAUUG
rnacentral:rRNA from 1 species